rnacentral:rRNA from 1 species
AACGAACGCUGGCGGCAGGCCUAACACAUGCAAGUCGAACGCCCUCUUUGAGGGAGUGGCAGACGGGUGAGUAACACGUGGGAACCUACCCAGUAGUACGGAACAACACAGAGAAAUUUGUGCUAAUACCGUAUACGCCCUACGGGGGAAAGAUUUAUCGCUAUUGGAUGGGCCCGCGCUGGAUUAGCUUGUUGGUGAGGUAAAAGCUCACCAAGGCGACGAUCCAUAGCUGGUCUGAGAGGAUGAUCAGCCACACUGGGACUGAGACACGGCCCAGACUCCUACGGGAGGCAGCAGUGGGGAAUAUUGGACAAUGGGCGCAAGCCUGAUCCAGCCAUGCCGCGUGAGUGAUGACGGCCCUAGGGUUGUAAAGCUCUUUCAACGGUGAAGAUAAUGACGGUAGCCGUAGAAGAAGCCCCGGCUAACUUCGUG